AACGAACGCUGGCGGCGUGCUUAACACAUGCAAGUCGAACGGAAAGGCCCUGCUUUGGUGGGGUGCUCUAGGUGCGAACGGGGGAGUAACACUUGAGUAAGCUGCCCUUGACUGUGGGAUAACUUCAUGAAACUUGGUCUAAUACCGGAUAGGAUCUCCUGCUUCAUGGUGGGGGUUGGAAAGUUUAGGCGGUUGGUGAUGGACUGGCGGCUUAUCAGCUUGUUGGUGGGGUAGUGUCUUACCAAGGCUUGGACAGGUAGCCGGGCUGAGAGGGUAACCGGCUCAACUGGGCCGGAGAUAAGGCACAGACUACUCCGGGAGGCAGCAGUGGGGAAUAUUGCAUAAUGGGAGGAACGCAGAUGUAGCCAAGCAGCGCGCGGGAUGACGGGAUUGGGGUUGUAAACCGAUUUCGCCUGUGACGAAGCGUGAGUGACGGUACCGGGUAAAGAAGCACCGGCUAACUACGUG
rnacentral:rRNA from 1 species